AUAAUCUUUACAAUGGGCAGUCGUAGGUAUAUACCUAAUGUUCCGGCCUUUUAUAACUUAGCCCAAAGAUGAUUAAAAUUCGCUCAGUUUGAACCUAAUUGUGACUUCAAAAGCCCCUACGUUGCUUUAUGUCCGUAGGUACCUCACGUCACAGCAAACGGUGCGUGACGUACAAAGCGGAUAGCCACGUCUGAUGAAGCCAUAAUAGCGAUCAAUCCUAUUAAGACGCCAUCGCUUACCUAACUUUGUCAAGAAUAUCGAUACGCGGACAAUGGUUAACGCACUGCCACACAAGGAAAAGAAAACACCUUACCAAAUAAAGCAUCUGCAAAUUUUUGAAAUGUCUUGUACAAAAAUGAUAGUGUCUGGCAGAUACAGAGUGAUGGAUUUCUUAUUGGCUAUCAUGACAAUAACCAUGAUCAAUGACAAGACACAGGAAAACUGUACCUCAACAUGAGCUUCAAGCUCAAAGAAUUUAGAAGAGGUUUGAUCAAAGGUAAAGUUGGUACAAGUAAUAUAAAUAAGGUAUAUAGAUAGAGGACCCUAAAAUAAUAGAGGCUUCAAACAGAUAAUAUAUACUGCCAUACAAAAGAUAUUUUUCUUGUUUCCGCAGCAAUACGAUAAGAUUGUGUAAGAUUUGUACAAACAUAAAUACAUUACGAUUUAUCUAUAAAAUGAUAUACACGUGAUUGAUCAUAUUUGUCGAGCGCAGGAAGU